CGCCCUUUUCCGGUUGAUCCUGCCGGACCCGACUGCUAUCGGAUUGAGAUUUAGCCAUGCGAGUUGAACGUCCCUUGAUUGCAGGGGGCGUAGCAUACGGCUCAGUAACACGUAGUCAACCUGCCCUGGAGACGCGGAUAACCCCGGGAAACUGGGACCAAUCCGUGAUAGGUCGCCCCAUCUGGAAGGAGGGGCGGCCCAAAGGGGAAUUGUGGGCUUCCACUUUUCUCGCUCUAGGAUGGGACUGCGGCCGAUCAGGCUGUUGGCGGGGUAAUGGCCCACCAAACCUGUAACCGGUACGGGCCUUGAGAGAGGCGGCCCGGAGAUGGACACUGAGACAAGGGUCCAGGUCCUACGGGGCGCAGCAGGCGCGAAACCUUCGCAAUGUGCGAAAGCAUGACGAGGUUGAUCCGAGUGGCUUCCGCUGAGGAAGUCUUUUGCCGACUGUAAAAAGGUCGGAGAAUAAGGGGAGGGCAAGUCUGGUGUCAGCCGCCGCGGUAAUACCAGCUCCUCGAGUGGUCGGGGCGAUUAUUGGGCCUAAAGCAUCCGUAGCCGGUUCCGUAGGUCUCCUGCAAAAUCCAGUCGCUCAACGAUUGGCCCGCAGGAGAUACCGCGGGACUAGGAGGCGGGAGAGGUGGACGGUACUCCACGUGUAGGGGUAAAAUCCUUUGAUCCGUGGAAGACCACCAGUGGCGAAGGCAGUCCACCAGAACGCGCUCGACGGUGAGGGAUGAAAGCUGGGGGAGCGAACCGGAUUAGAUACCCGGGUAGUCCCAGCCGUAAACGAUGCUAGCUAGAUGAUCCGAUCGUAAAUCAUGAUCGGAGUGUCGCAGGGAAGCCGUUAAGCUAGCCGCCUGGGGAGUACGGUCGCAAGACUGAAACUUAAAGGAAUUGGCGGGGGAGCACCACAAGGGGUGAAGCCUGCGGUUCAAUUGGAGUCAACGCCAGGAAACUUACCAGGAGAGACAGCAGAUUGAGGGUCGGACUGAAGAUCUUACCUGACGAGCUGAGAGGAGGUGCAUGGCCGUCGCCAGCUCGUGCCGUGAGGCGUCCUGUUAAGUCAGGCAACGAGCGAGACCCAAAGGGCG
rnacentral:rRNA from 2 species